GAGUCCGUAGCUCAGCCGGUAGAGCAUCUGACUUUUAAUCAGAGUGUCGCGGGUUCGAGCCCCGCCGGACUCACCA
rnacentral:tRNA from 1 species